GUUGUAUGGUUAAGUGACUAAGCGUACACGGUGGAUGCCUUGGCAGUCAGAGGCGAUGAAAGACGUAGUAACUUGCGAUAAGCCCAGAUUAGGUAGUAACAACCAUUUGAGUCUGGGAUUUCUGAAUGGGGAAACCCACGUGCAUAAGCACGUAUCCUUACCUGAAUACAUAGGGUAAGGAGGCGAACCGGGGGAACUGAAACAUCUAAGUACCCCGAGGAAAAGAAAUCAACCGAGAUUCCGAAAGUAGCGGCGAGCGAAAUUGGACUAGCCCUUAAGCUUUACACGCGUUAGACGAACGGUCUGGAAAGUCCGACGAUACAGGGUGAUAGUCCCGUAGUUGACGACGUGUGUUCAGUGAAAUCGAGUAGGGCGGGACACGUGAUAUCCUGUCUGAAUAUGGGGGGACCAUCCUCCAAGGCUAAAUACUACUGACUGACCGAUAGUGAACCAGUACCGUGAGGGAAAGGCGAAAAGAACCCCUGUGAGGGGAGUGAAAUAGAACCUGAAACCGUGUACGUACAAGCAGUAGGAGCAGGCUUUGUCCUGUGACUGCGUACCUUUUGUAUAAUGGGUCAGCGACUUAUAUUCAGUGGCAAGGUUAACCAUCUAGGGGAGCCGUAGGGAAACCGAGUCUUAACUGGGCGUUCAGUCUCUGGAUAUAGACCCGAAACCAGGUGAUCUAGCCAUGGGCAGGUUGAAGGUUGAGUAACAUCAACUGGAGGACCGAACCGACUAAUGUUGAAAAAUUAGCGGAUGACUUGUGGCUAGGGGUGAAAGGCCAAUCAAACCUGGAGAUAGCUGGUUCUCCCCGAAAGCUAUUUAGGUAGCGCCUCGGACGAAUACUACUGGGGGUAGAGCACUGUUAAGGCUAGGGGGUCAUCCCGACUUACCAACCCUUUGCAAACUCCGAAUACCAGUAAGUACUAUCCGGGAGACACACGGCGGGUGCUAACGUCCGUCGUGGAGAGGGAAACAACCCAGACCGCCAGCUAAGGUCCCAAAUUACUACUAAGUGGGAAACGAUGUGGGAAGGCUCAGACAGCCAGGAUGUUGGCUUAGAAGCAGCCAUCAUUUAAAGAAAGCGUAAUAGCUCACUGGUCGAGUCGGCCUGCGCGGAAGAUGUAACGGGGCUAAGUAGUAAACCGAAGCUGCGGCAAUACUCUUUGAGUAUUGGGUAGGGGAGCGUUCUGUAAGCGGUUGAAGGUGUGUGGUAACGCAUGCUGGACGUAUCAGAAGUGCGAAUGCUGACAUGAGUAACGAUAAAGGGGGUGAAAAACCUCCUCGCCGGAAGACCAAGGGUUCCUGUCCAACGUUAAUCGGGGCAGGGUAAGUCGACCCCUAAGGCGAGGCCGAAAGGCGUAGUCGAUGGGAAACGGGUUAAUAUUCCCGUACUUCUUACAAUUGCGAUGGGGGGACGGAGAAGGCUAGGUGGGCCUGGCGACGGUUGUCCAGGUUCAAGUGCGUAGGCUUAAGAGUUAGGUAAAUCCGGCUCUUUUUAAGGCUGAGACACGACGUCGAGCACCUACGGGUGUGAAGUCAUUGAUGCCAUGCUUCCAGGAAAAGCCUCUAAGCUUCAGAUUGUAAGGAAUCGUACCCCAAACCGACACAGGUGGUCGGGUAGAGAAUACCAAGGCGCUUGAGAGAACUCGGGUGAAGGAACUAGGCAAAAUGGUACCGUAACUUCGGGAGAAGGUACGCUCUCGACGGUGAAGUCCCUCGCGGAUGGAGCUAUUGAGAGUCGCAGAUACCAGGUGGCUGCAACUGUUUAUUAAAAACACAGCACUGUGCAAAAUCGUAAGAUGACGUAUACGGUGUGACGCCUGCCCGGUGCCGGAAGGUUAAUUGAUGGGGUUAGACUUCGGUCGAAGCUCUUGAUCGAAGCCCCGGUAAACGGCGGCCGUAACUAUAACGGUCCUAAGGUAGCGAAAUUCCUUGUCGGGUAAGUUCCGACCUGCACGAAUGGCGUAAUGAUGGCCACGCUGUCUCCACCCGAGACUCAGUGAAAUUGAAAUCGCUGUGAAGAUGCAGUGUACCCGCGGCUAGACGGAAAGACCCCGUGAACCUUUACUACAGCUUGGCACUGAACAUUGACCCUACAUGUGUAGGAUAGGUGGGAGGCUUUGAAGCA
rnacentral:rRNA from 1 species